UUGCCCAGAGGUGGUGUGGGGUUUGGAUCUCAGUUAAAAUCUCACUGGAGACCAUACUGCACAGCCUUCUCUAGGUGA
rnacentral:pre_miRNA from 1 species